rnacentral:tmRNA from 1 species
GGGGAUGACAGGUUUCGACGGGGGAGGCUGGGCGGUUGUAGCAAGCCGAAGCGCACAGGACUUCGUAAAAAUGUGCAAAACUUUAAGUGCCAACAACAGCACUUCAAGCUUCGCUCUCGCUGCCUAAUCAGCUUGAAUGAAGCCGAUUACUCUACGGAGUAAUCCGUCCGACUGCAUCAGGCACCGUUGGUGCAGCAUCGGGCGAGACCAAUACGGUUGCUGCGGCCUCGUGACGCCGAUAAGCGAGGUCAAAGAGACAUCGGCUAGCAGCUACGCACCCUGUCCGCCGGGGGCGCAGUGAGCGAAACUCAAAUAGCCGGACUACGCUUGUAGAAGCAGUCGUUCAAAAUCUUUCGGACAAGGAGUUCAAUUCUCCUUCAUCUCCACAA